UACGUAGGGAGCGAGCGUUGUCCGAAGUUACUGGGCGUAAAGGGUGCGUAGGUGGAUGACUAAGUCAGAUGUGAAAUCCCUGGGCUUAACCUAGGAAUUGCAUAUGAUACUGUUCAUCUAGAGUUCGAAAGAGGUAAGUGGAAUUUCCGGUGUAGAGGUGAAAUUCGUAGAUAUUGGGAAGAACACCAGUGGCGAAGGCGGCUAACUGGUCCAGUACUGACGCUGAGGUGCGAAAGCGUGGGGAGCAAACAGG
rnacentral:rRNA from 1 species